GAUGAAGAACGUAGCGAAAUGCGAUACGUAAUGUGAAUUGCAGAUUUCAGUGAAUCAUCGAAUCUUUGAACGCACAUUGCGCCCGCUAGUAUUCUGGCGGGCAUGCCUGUUCGAGCGUCAUUUCAACCAUCAAGCCCUAGGCUUGCGUUGGAGCCCUGCGGCUGCCGCAGGCUCCCAAAUCCAGUGGCGGGCUCGUCGUCGUACCGAGUGCAGUAAACAUCCUCGCUCAGGGAACGUGACGGGUUCUUGCCGUGAAACCCCCCACAUAUCAAGGUUGACCUCGGAUCAGGUAGGAAUACCGGCUGAACUUAAGCAUAUCAAUAAGCGGAGGA
rnacentral:misc_RNA from 1 species